rnacentral:tRNA from 1 species
CAGAGUUUAGUUUAAAUAAAAAACAUCUCCCUUACACUGAGAAGACUGUCCGUGCAAACCGGACUCCUCUGA